CAGGGAUUGCCUCAGUAACGGCGAGUGAAGCGGCAAAAGCUCAAAUUUGAAAUCUAGCACUUUCAGUGUUCGAGUUGUAAUUUGAAGAAGGUAACUUUGGUUUUGGCUCUUGUCUAUGUUCCUUGGAACAGGACGUCACAGAGGGUGAGAAUCCCGUGCGAUGAGAUGCCCAAUUCCAUGUAAAGUGCUUUCGAAGAGUCGAGUUGUUUGGGAAUGCAGCUCUAAGUGGGUGGUAAAUUCCAUCUAAAGCUAAAUAUUGGCGAGAGACCGAUAGCGAACAAGUACAGUGAUGGAAAGAUGAAAAGAACUUUGAAAAGAGAGUGAAAAAGUACGUGAAAUUGUUGAAAGGGAAGGGCUUGAGAUCAGACUUGGUAUUUUGCGUUCCCUUCCUUUUUGGUUGGGUUCCUCGCAGUUUACUGGGCCAGCAUCGGUUUGGAUGGUAGGAUAAUGACAUUGGAAUGUAGCUUUACUUCGGUGAAGUGUUAUAGACUUUGUUGAUACUGCCUAUCUAGACCGAGGACUGCGUCUUUGACUAGGAUGCUGGCGUAAUGAUCUUAAGCCGCCCGUCUUGAAACACGGACCUCCUGUGUGAAGU
rnacentral:rRNA from 1 species